rnacentral:siRNA from 1 species
GCCGCCGCAGUCGAGUCCCUACCU